CAGUAGCCACGGUAAUCCGUAGGUGGCAAGCGUUGUCCGGAAUUAUUGGGCGUAAAGGGCUCGCAGGCGGUUUCUUAAGUCCGAUGUGAAAGCCCCCGGCUCAACCGGGGAGGGUCAUUGGAAACUGGGAAACUUGAGUGCAGAAGAGGAGAGUGGAAUUCCACGUGUAGCGGUGAAAUGCGUAGAGAUGUGGAGGAACACCAGUGGCGAAGGCGACUCUCUGGUCUGUAACUGACGCUGAGGAGCGAAAGCGUGGGGAGCGAACAGGAUUAGAUACCCCCGUAGUCCCUGUCUCUUAUAC
rnacentral:rRNA from 1 species